rnacentral:rRNA from 1 species
UUGGAGGGCAAGUCUGGUGCCAGCAGCCGCGGUAAUUCCAGCUCCAAUAGCGUAUAUUGAAGUUGUUGCAGUUAAAAAGCUCGUAGUUGAAUUUCGGGAUCAAGGGAUCGGUCAUGCCUUGGUAUGUACUGGUCUUAUUGGUUCUCACCUUCUAAAGAACCAUGAUGUCAUUCAUUUGAUGUUAUGGGGAAUUAGGACUGUUACCUUGAAAAAAUUAGAGUGUUUAAAGCAAGCUUACGCUUGAAUACAUUAGCAUGGAAUAAUGAAAUAGGACAUCAGAUUCUAUUUUGUUGGUUUCUAGGAUCGAUGUAAUGAUUAAUAGGGAUAGUUGGGGGCAUUAGUAUUCAAUUGUCAGAGGUGAAAUUCUUAGAUUUAUUGAAGACUAACUACUGCGAAAGCAUUUGCCAAGGAUGUUUUCAUUAAUCAAGAACGAAAGUUAGGGGAUCGAAGACGAUCAGAUACCGUCGUAGUCUUAACCAUAAACUAUGCCGACUAGGGAUCGGAUGAUGUUAAUUUUUUAAUGACUCAUUCGGCACCUUACGGGAAACCAAAGUGUUUGGGUUC